CCUACCGGUUCUCGUUAGAACACAGAAGUCAAGCAUCAUUGGGCGCGGUCAGUACUUGGGUGGGUGACCACCUGGGAACACCGCGUG